ACGCUGGCGGCAGGCCUAACACAUGCAAGUCGAGCGGUGGAGAAAAGCUUGCUUCUCUUGAGAGCGGCGGACGGGUGAGUAAUGCCUAGGAAUCUGCCUGGUAGUGGGGGAUAACGUUCGGAAACGGACGCUAAUACCGCAUACGUCCUACGGGAGAAAGCAGGGGACCUUCGGGCCUUGCGCUAUCAGAUGAGCCUAGGUCGGAUUAGCUAGUUGGUGAGGUAAUGGCUCACCAAGGCGACGAUCCGUAACUGGUCUGAGAGGAUGAUCAGUCACACUGGAACUGAGACACGGUCCAGACUCCUACGGGAGGCAGCAGUGGGGAAUAUUGGACAAUGGGCGAAAGCCUGAUCCAGCCAUGCCGCGUGUGUGAAGAAGGUCUUCGGAUUGUAAAGCACUUUAAGUUGGGAGGAAGGGCAGUUACCUAAUACGUGAUUGUUUUGACGUUACCGACAGUAUAAGCACCGGCUAACUCUGUGCCAGCAGCCGCGGUAAUACAGAGGGUGCAAGCGUUAAUCGGAAUUACUGGGCGUAAAGCGCGCGUAGGUGGUUUGUUAAGUUGGAUGUGAAAUCCCCGGGCUCAACCUGGGAACUGCAUUCAAAACUGACUGACUAGAGUAUGGUAGAGGGUGGUGGAAUUUCCUGUGUAGCGGUGAAAUGCGUAGAUAUAGGAAGGAACACCAGUGGCGAAGGCGACCACCUGGACUGAUACUGACACUGAGGUGCGAAAGCGUGGGGAGCAAAC
rnacentral:rRNA from 1 species